rnacentral:rRNA from 1 species
AUUGAACGCUGGCGGCAUGCUUUACACAUGCAAGUCGAACGGUAACAGGCCUUCGGGUGCUGACGAGUGGCGAAUGGGUGAGUAAUGCAUCGGAACGUACCCAGAGGUGGGGGUUAACGCAGCGAAAGCUGUGCUAAUACCGCAUGUGAUCUGAGGAUGACAGCGGGGGACCGCGCAGCAAUGUUUGGCCUCGCGCCUUUGGAGCGGCCGAUGUCGGAUUAGCUAGUUGGUGGGGUAAAGGCCUACCAAGGCGACGAUCCGUAGCUGGUCUGAGAGGACGACCAGCCACACUGGGACUGAGACACGGCCCAGACUCCUACGGGAGGCAGCAGUGGGGAAUUUUGGACAAUGGGCGCAAGCCUGAUCCAGCAAUACCGCGUGCGGGAAGAAGGCCUUCGGGUUGUAAAGCGCUUUUGGCGGGAACGAAACGGUGUCCGCUAAUACCGGGCGCUAAUGACGGUACCUGCAGAAUAAGCACCGGCUAACUACGUG